rnacentral:sRNA from 1 species
CAGCAGCUUCGCCCCAUUGGCGGUAUGC